UACACUCCUACGGGAGGCAGCAGUGGGGAAUAUUGCACAAUGGGCGCAAGCCUGAUGCAGCCAUGCCGCGUGUAUGAAGAAGGCCUUCGGGUUGUAAAGUACUUUCAGCGGGGAGGAAGGCAAUACGGUUAAUAACCGUGUUGAUUGACGUUACCCGCAGAAGAAGCACCGGCUAACUCCGUGCCAGCAGCCGCGGUAAUACGGAGGGUGCAAGCGUUAAUCGGAAUUACUGGGCGUAAAGCGCACGCAGGCGGUCUGUCAAGUCGGAUGUGAAAUCCCCGGGCUCAACCUGGGAACUGCAUUCGAAACUGGCAGGCUUGAGUCUUGUAGAGGGGGGUAGAAUUCCAGGUGUAGCGGUGAAAUGCGUAGAGAUCUGGAGGAAUACCGGUGGCGAAGGCGGCCCCCUGGACAAAGACUGACGCUCAGGUGCGAAAGCGUGGGGAGCAAACAGGAUUAGAUACCCUUGUAGUCCC
rnacentral:rRNA from 1 species